ACAGGAUGAGACAUGAGGAACUGACAGUAGUUGCGUUUUUGAUUAAAUAUGUACAAUUACUGACAGAAAACUAAUAGUGCGCCGUGUCAGGAAGGGCAAACAGUAUGUAAAUAGUAAAGAAAAAAAAAGUUCGAAUUAUGAAAACGUUCUUAUAUUUCGUAUGUGAAGUUCUGAUGUAACCUGCAGCCUGUGACCAAUUGAGAGGCAACGCAAAUGCCGACCAAAACCGCAAAGAACUGUAUAAUGAACUGUGAAUGGAUUUUAUUGCCACAUUAUUAAUUGGAUGACAGCAUACAAACUGUGAGAGGAGAUGGAUGAGUGAAGAUAAUGCUAUCAUCAGACAACGUGCAUGACUUGGAGUGUGGUGAUGACAAAAGGGCAGUACUGGUGACUGACAGUGAUCAAAUUAAAUUGACAGUGCUGCAUCAACUUGGUGGAAUCAGUGUCACUUAGCAGAUGGUGGGCACAAUGUCGAAAGUGGCAGGCAGUAGUGGAGGACUGCUGGUGACUGACAGGGAUGUGGCCAGGGUGGCAGGUUGCGACACCCUGGAAGCAGUGCCUGGCUUCACAUUUAAUUAAUCAUAGAGGACAGAUCAAAAGGCUCACACAGUGCAAUGGACUAGUGGCCUCUCUGGAAUGUAGAGUUGGUGAAUUGUAUUGUCUGGGUUGCUGACACCUGGCAGUCAAGGACAUAUUAGCGGCAGCCAAAACACAAAUUAUGAUCUGGAUAUUGAGAGGAUUCAGAGCAACGUAAGAGUUCAUAAUUUAUCAACAAGUUGAGCAAAUAAUCACUCACUGAUAAAAAGGAAAUUAUAUGAAAUAAAUAUGUACAAAUUUAAUUUACUGUGUGUAUUUAUUAAAUAUUAAUCUAACUAACUUUAUUGUGAUUUUGGUUUCCAUGAAUAUUAAUCUUAUGUGUGUAUCUAGUGUUUAUUUUUAAUAUAUGCUGCAUGCAUUAUGGUAUUUGAGAUAAAUGGAAAUGGGGUGCUACAAAGACUUGAACGCCGUGAGCAACCAAUGGACCGACUGCAAUUAUGACAACCAACAAGCCACAUGGUGUGGCUGUGUCAUGAGUAAAUACACUAAGAUGUACAAAAUUAUGUUUAUA